rnacentral:sRNA from 1 species
GCUGGGCAUGGUGGCGCAUGCCUGUAAUCCCAGCUACUCGGGAGGCUGAGGCAGGAGAAUUGCCUGAACCCAGGAGGCGGAGGUUGCAGUGAGCCGAGAUCGCGCCAUUGCACUCCAGCCUGGGUAACAAGAGCGAAACUCUGUCUCUA